AGCAGCCGCCGCGGGAAUACGAAGGGUGCAAGCGUUAAUCGGAAUUACUGGGCGUAAAGCGUGCGUAGGCGGUGAGUUAAGUCUGCUGUGAAAUCCCCGGGCUCAACCUGGGAAUGGCAGUGGAUACUGGCUCGCUAGAGUGUGUCAGAGGAUGGUGGAAUUCCCGGUGUAGCGGUGAAAUGCGUAGAGAUCGGGAGGAACAUCAGUGGCGAAGGCGGCCAUCUGGGACAACACUGACGCUGAGGCACGAAAGCGUGGGGAGCAAACAGGAUUAGAUACCCCGGUAGUCCCUGUCUCUUAUAC
rnacentral:rRNA from 1 species